AAUAUAUCUACCAAGACAUGUAAGGUGUAUGUUGGUUCGAUCUGGAAAGCACCCCCACUGAGCACCUUGCAACCCCCACUCCUGCCCGCCAGGGAACAAACCCCCUUUGACUGUAAUUUUCCUUUACCUACCCAAAUCCUAUAAAACGGCCCCACCCUUAUCUUCCUUCGCUGACUCUCUUUUCGGACUCAGCCCGCCUGCACCCAGGUGAAAUAAACAGCCAUGUUGCUCACACAAAGCCUGUUUGGUGGUCUCUUCACACGGACGCGCAUGAAAUUUGGUGCCGUAACUCGGAUCGGGGAACCUCUCUUGGGAGAUCAAUCCCCUGUACUCCUGUUCUUUGCUCCAUGAGAAAGAUCCACCUAUGACCUCAGGUCCUCAGACCGACCAGCCCAAGGAACAUCUCACCAAUUUCAAAUCAGGUAAGUGGCCUCUUCUUACUCUCUUCUCCAACCUCUCUGUCCCUCAACCACUUUCUCCUUUCCACUCUUCAAUCUCUCCCUUCUCUUAAUUUCAAUUCCUUUCAUUUUCUGGGAGAGACAAAGGAGAAACGUUUUAUCCGUGGACCCAAAACUCCGGCGCCGGUCACAGACUGGGAAGGCAGCCUUCCCUUAGUGUUUAAUCACUGCAGGAAUGCCUCUCUGAUUAUACACCCACGUUUCAAGGGUGUCAGACCACGCAGGGACGCCUGCCUUGGUCCUUCACCCUUAGUGGCAAGUCCCGCUUUUCUAGGGAAGGGGCAAGUACCUCAAACCCUUCUCUCCUUGUCUCUACCCCUUCUCUGCUUUUCUGGGAUAGGGGCAAGUACCCCUCAACCCCUUCUCCUUCACCCUUAGCGGCAAGUCCCGCUUUUCUACGGGACAAGAACCCCCAAUCCCUUAUUUCCACACCCCAACCUCUUAUCUCUGUGCCCCAAUCCCUUAUUUACGUGCCCCAACCUCUUAUCUCUGUGCCCCAAUUCCUUAUUUCCAUGCCCCAACCCUUUCUCUGCUUUUCUGGAGGGCAAGAACCCCCAACCCCUUCUCCGUGUCUCUACUCUUUUCUCUGGCCUUGCCUCCUUCACUAUGGGCAAGCUUCCACCUUCCAUUCCUCCUUCUUCUCCCUUAGCCUAUAUUCUUAAGAACUUAAAACCUCUUCAACUCUCACCUGACCUAAAAUCUAAGCAUCUUAUUUUCUUCUGCAAUGCCGCUUGAGGCCAAUACAAACUCGACAGUAGUUCCAAAUAGCCGGAAAAUGGCACUUUCAAUUUUUCCAUCCUACAAGAUCUAAAUAAUUCUUGUCGUAAAAUGGGCAAAUAUGGUCUGAGGUGCCUGACGUCCAGGCAUUCUUUUACACAUCAGUCCCUUCCUAGUCUCUGUGCCCAGU
rnacentral:lncRNA from 10 species